GAUAGCAACGUGUAGUAGAAAAGAUACACAGAAGGUAGAUAAAACUGGAUAAAAAGAAUAAUAGGAUAAAAAAAUGUUUGGACAAAAGGGAUCCUCUUGCACAACAAAAGUGCUAAACUUACAGGAGUAAGCAACGAGGAGGUAAGAAGAACCAUGUUAAAAUUGCUCUUUUUUCGCUAUGGACAAAAGGGAUCAUCCAUCUCGGUGUAUAAGUCAUUUUAGGUUGUGCACCGUGACCAAGACGGAGAGAAAAACGAGAGAAAUCAAUGCUAAUUUGCUAAUUAAUACCAUUGCAUGCAAUGAAUUGACCAAUGCAUGUUGUGCUAGUUAGUCUCAAGUCAUUAAAAACAUACAUGCCCCAUGUCUCUUAUUGGUUGAUUCCAUUAUUCAUGUCAAAAAACAAAAAACAAGGUGAAAGUUAAUGCAUCAUGCCUAAGUGUUUUGGGAUUAUUAGGUUUUCGUAAGAUGACUUAUUCACCGAGAUGGAGGGAGUACUAAUAACUCUUGAGGUCUAAGGCCCUGUUUGGAUCCAUGGGCUAGAGUUAGUUUGAGCUAGUUUGAGUUCAACUAGCACUAAAGUAUCCAAACAAAAGGGUUAGAUGGGAGCUAGUUGCAUCUAACCCACCUAAAAAAACUAGCUCACCCAAGAGGUGCUAAUUGGAGCUAGUUCUCAUGAGGUUCAUUAAAAAAUAUUUUUCUCUCUCUCUUCCACUAGCCAAGAGAUGCUAAUUGAAGCUAGUUUUCAUGGGGUCCAUUAAAAAAUCACUUUUCUCUUUCCAUAAAGUGCAUCUAUUGUCAAUCUAACCCUUCCAUCCAAACACCUAUUUGGCUAGAGUCAGUUUAGGGUUAGUCAUGAGCUAGAAACUAACUCUAACCACUAGCUAAGCUAGAGUAUCCAAACAGGGCCUAACAAGUAUUCAAGGUUAGUGGUCCUACCGUGAUAUUGAGUUGUGUCGGGAGGAAAAAAAACACUGCUGAUUGUCUUGAUUGUGGUUAAGAUAAUUAGGUGACCACCUGCAUCAUGGAUGUCUGUGGCGCACGAUGAAGAGCAGAAUUAAUUGUAGGAUAGCAACGUGCAGCUACCGCUUUGUGUUAGCUACUAGAAAAGAUACACAGAAGGUAGAUAAAAGUGGAUGAAAAAAAAAUGUUUGGACUUAGAGGAGUAAGCAAAGAGGAGGUAAGAAGAACCAUGUUAAAAUUGCUCUUUUUUCACUAUGAGCUAAUCACCUCAUGCAUGAAAUCUUGUCCCUAAGAAAUUUCUAGCAUUACUCAUGGCAUAAUAAGGUAAAAAAAUAUAUAACAGAGUUGCACUUCACAUAACCUUAAAAAUUACACGUCCCUUUUAUUUAUACAUUUAUUCGCUGAAUGACAUGCACUCACCCGUCAUGAAGGCACGCAUAUAU
rnacentral:lncRNA from 1 species